ACUAACCUUAGUACCUGCGAUCGGUAACCUAAAUGUUGGUUCAUUGUAUAAAUUAUUAUUUUUCAAAUGUUUUAUUAGAGAUAUUUUUAUAAUAUGUUAAAGACAAUAUCAAAACUUUGUAGUUCCUUUAAAACCAUUCAUAAAUUGUAUUACAGUUCUAAGGUGUUACAGAAUGUGGACAUUGAAUAUAUAAGGAAUAUUGGUAUACUUGCACAUAUCGAUGCCGGAAAAACAACGACCACAGAAAGAAUGUUGUAUUACGCAGGCUUAAUUAAUGAAAUGGGUGAAGUACAUCAUGGUAACACAGUAACAGAUUAUAUGGACCAAGAAAGGGAACGUGGUAUUACAAUAACAUCAGCUGCGGUAACAUUCUAUUGGAAAAACAAUCAGGUUACUAUUAUAGAUACCCCAGGCCAUAUAGAUUUUACCAUGGAAGUUGAACAAACCUUGAAUGUACUAGAUGGAGCAAUUAUUAUAUUAGAUGCCUCUGCAGGCGUUGAGGCCCAGACUUUAAUGGUUUGGAGACAAGCAGACAGGCACAAGAUUCCAAGAAUUAUUUAUGUUAAUAAAAUGGACAGGAGUGAUGCCAGCGUUCAGAUGUGUUGCACAUCAAUUGAGAAGAAAUUAGAGACUCCAACUUUUUUACUGCAGUUGCCCCUAAUUGAAAAUGGAAAAUUUUUAGGAAUAAUAGAUUUGGUUUCUAUGCAGUUGCUAAAAUAUAGCAGGAAAGAGAGAAAUGUAACUAAGAUACUAUUAUCAGAAUCUGAAUUUCCUAAAUAUUGGUGUGAUGCUAUGAAGGGACGAUCUCUUCUGCUUGAAAAAUUGGGCGAUUUUGAUGAUGAAUUUGCAAAUUUGAUAAUCUCAUCUAAUUCUUAUGACACAAUUAGCAGUGUUGAUGUUAUAAAAGUGUUAAACAAAAUUGUGGUUCAAAAGACUGGCGUUCCGGUGGUUUUGGGAAGUUCUUACAAAAAUAUUGGAGUCCAAUCGUUGAUGGAUGCCGUAAUACUUUAUUUACCCUCGCCCUCUCAAACGAAACAUUUUUAUUCAGCAUUUGAAGAUAAUUUUUGCGGACGGGCAUUUAAAGUUAGGCAUGACAAACAAAGAGGACCUUUGGUUUUUUUGAGAAUAUAUAACGGAUUGAUUAAGAAAAACCAAACCAUCUAUAAUGUACAAAGAGAGAAAUCUGAGGCGGCCGGUAGAGUUUACAUAGCGUACGCGGAUGAGUUUCAAGAAGCAUCUUCGGUUGGAGCUGGCAACAUCGCCGUAGUUUCGGGGCUUAAAAAAACGAUGUCUGGCGAUUUAUUAACCUCCUCGUUAUCAACAUAUCACAAAGCACAGAAAAAUUUCGCAAAGUUAUACAAAGAAACACAAACAGAUCUGUCCGAUAGUAUUUUCGGUGGUACGACUUACAUUCCGCCGCCAGUGUUUUUCUGUUCAAUCGAGCCUUCCAGCAUGGCGUCGCAAACGGUUCUCGAAAAUGUUUUGGCUGAGUUAGAAAGGGAGGAUCCAAGUUUAAGGGUGACUUAUGAUUCCGAAACCGGUCAAACAAUUCUGGCAGGUAUGGGCGAGCUUCAUUUGGACAUAAUAAGAGAUAGAAUAGUUAAGGAAUACAAGCUCGAUGUAGACCUGGGACCUUUACAAAUUGCCUAUCGCGAAACACCCGUCGAACAAGUAUCAGAGGUUUACGUCAACGAAUCUAAAAUAGGGAAAUUCCGUCAGUAUGUAAAACUCCAUCUAUCAAUAGUUCCGGGCGCAACGCAGAAUGACAAAGAUAUUUUAAAGUAUGAUAAAUCGCCGGACAACGCCAGCAACAUCGCCGCUAUAUUUCCCAAACAGCUUGUGGCCCUUAAACAUGGAAUUUUAAUUGGUUUAACGCAUGGUCCCAAAAUCAGCUCGCAGGUUAUGAAUUCGCAAGUAAUACUACACUGGCUAGAGGUCGGGCGAGGAACUUCCGAAACUUUUUUGUCGGCCACUGCAUCGCAGCUCAUUAAAAAGCUCUUAGAACAAUCUGGAACUAAUAUACUAGAACCGAUUAUGAAUUUGGAAAUACUUGCGCCAUCUGAACACGCGUCAGGCAUACUGCACGAUUUGGCAAGGAGGCGAGCGGUCGUAAAAGACGUUUCGACCCAAGGAAACACGCGAUCUGUGAAACCUUUUUGGAAAAAUUGGGAUUAUUUCAAAACCUGGAAAAAAUAUUUAAAAAAAAAGGGCCAGGAGGUGUUACUCGUGUAAAGAAAUUCCAGCAUCCUGCGUGGGAAAUAUCUCCGAAAACAUCCGAUUGCUCCCAAACCCGUGUGGUAAAAUCCCGGAAAUGCCCGAAAUGGUUCAGAUCUGUGGAAAACAAAACUGACGUGACGGGAGUAGAAAAACCAGUUUACCGAACGCGUUACAUGCUAGUCUUUUUCUACGAUCCUUCGUUUUUGGGUACAUUUUUGCAAAACAACACGACUGACAUGAUCGUCAGGAUUGACAAACGUUAAAGUUCAA